rnacentral:rRNA from 1 species
GGGGGCUGGACCUCUCGGGGUUACAGCCUUGCUGAAUUAUUCACCCUUGUCUUUUGCGUACUUCUUGUUUCCUUGGUGGGUUCGCCCACCACUAGGACAAACAUAAACCUUUUGUAAUUGCAAUCAGCGUCAGUAACAAAUUAAUAAUUACAACUUUCAACAACGGAUCUCUUGGUUCUGGCAUCGAUGAAGAACGCAGCGAAAUGCGAUAAGUAGUGUGAAUUGCAGAAUUCAGUGAAUCAUCGAAUCUUUGAACGCACAUUGCGCCCUUUGGUAUUCCAAAGGGCAUGCCUGUUCGAGCGUCAUUUGUACCCUCAAGCUUUGCUUGGUGUUGGGCGUCUUGUCUCUAGCUUUGCUGGAGACUCGCCUUAAAGUAAUUGGCAGCCGGCCUACUGGUUUCGGAGCGCAGCACAAGUCGCACUCUCUAUCAGCAAAGGUCUAGCAUCCAUUAAGCCUUUUUUUCAACUUUUGACCUCGGAUCAGGUAGGGAUACCCGCUGAACUUAAGCAUAUCAAUAAGCGGAGGAAAAA